rnacentral:miRNA from 1 species
UCGGGAAUGCCUACGCCUGC